UCAACCCUCAAGGCACGAACAGAGCAUUCGCCGGGUUGAUUGACACCAAGAAGUGGGAUCGGUUAAUUUCCCCACUUGAGCAUUAUGAUAUUGCAACGGUGCGUGAGUUCUAUGCGAACGCACUUCCAGAUGAUGACGAGCCAUUUACUUGGACAUCUAGAGUGGCCGGUCGUCCUGUUGCUUUUGAUCGGGAUGCUAUUAACCGCGUCCUUGGUGAACCGCUCCAACUGGGAGCCG
rnacentral:lncRNA from 1 species